CAGUCGCCACGGGAAUACGUAGGGUGCAAGCAUUAAUCGGAAUUACUGGGCGUAAAGCGUGCGCAGGCGGUCCGCUAAGACAGAUGUGAAAUCCCCGGGCUUAACCUGGGAACUGCAUUUGUGACUGGCGGGCUAGAGUAUGGCAGAGGGGGGUAGAAUUCCACGUGUAGCAGUGAAAUGCGUAGAUAUGUGGAGGAAUACCGAUGGCGAAGGCAGCCCCCUGGGAUAACGCUGACGCUCAUGCACGAAAGCGUGGGGAGCAAACAGGAUUAGAGACCCGCGUAGUCCCUGUCUCUUAUAC
rnacentral:rRNA from 1 species